GAGGGGAACAGCAGAAAAAAUGUGAGGACUGCUCGUCCAAGGCAGUGGCUGUCAAAGUUUCUUGAAAGGUCUAAAUGGGAGCACCUGCUGGACCACAUGGUGAUGCCCUCCCACUCUGCCUGCCUACGUUUUCUUCUUACAGAAAAUAGAGUUUAUGAAGGAAAAAAGGAUGAGAAAGCAAUCUGUACACUUUUCUUUCCUUGCAAGCUGGAUGCCAACAAGUGGCCCUGAGUCUUGAUACACCCCAGGUCAAGACAAGACAUGCCAGGAGAUCCUCAAGUGCCAUGGAAUAAUGGAAGAGUGUCAAUAGUGGAUUUGAACAUGAGCUGCCAGCAAGCUGGAUGAAUGAUGUGAUUGUCACAUCCACUGAAUGUUCUGGAGCUUUCUUGACAAGGUUUUAAUUUUCUGCCAGCGCAGACUGAUUUUAUUUUUAAUUUUUUUGAGACAUUAGAAAAUGUUUAGCUUCUAAGCCAUGUCAGCAACCGAAAGGCUCUGUGAGGACUAAUGUAACCAUUUGUUCCAAACAACCUACAUAGCUCUUUUUUUCUCCUUUUGGCAAGUAUCCAUGAACACAUUUAAGUUUUAGAAAGCCUUGAAGUGAUCAUUAUAGCUGUAUUUGAUCAAUGGAUUGCAUGGACUACUCAACAUCUGUAUGUGAUGAGAUCUUUUCAGUACAGACAGCCCAAUCACUGUAAGGUUAACAGUUUGACCGUCCAAAGAAUCCUGAUACUGACUUAAAAAUCACAAGACUGGGAAAUUUAGGGGACAGCAUU